rnacentral:rRNA from 1 species
AUUGAACGCUGGCUGCAGGCCUAACACAUGCAAGUCGAACGAGUGGCGGACGAGUGAGUAAUGUCUGGGAAACUGCCUGCUGGAGGGGGAUAACUACUGGACACGGUAGCUAAUAGCGCAUACCAUCAGAUGUGCCGAGAUGGGGUUAGCUUGUUGGUGGGGUAACGGCUCACCAAGGCGACGAUCCCUAGCUGGUCUGAGAGGCUGACGAGGCAUACUCGAACGGAGACACGGCCCAGACGCGUACGGGAGGCAGCAGUUGGGAAUAUUGCACAAUGGGCUAAAGCCUGAUGCAGCCAUGCCGCGUGUAUGAAGAAGGCCUUCGGGUUGUAAAGUACUUCCAGCGGGGAGGCGUUACCCGCAGAAGAAGCACCGGCUAACUCCGUGCCAGCAGCCGCGGUAAUAC